AGUGAUGCCAAGUCACAGCACCACGAGUGGCUGGUUUUGAAUUGCUGAACAGAAGAAUGGAGUUAAUGAAUGCAUUCUAUCAGACACAGGAAGCAUGACAGGCUGCAAUCCCAGCACUGAGAAAGCCCUGAGACUUGAGGUGACAAUCCAUAGAAAGCUUUUCUGGAAGAACAACUGAGCAAUCACAUCUGCCCAUUUACCAAACAGAGAUGAAGGCACUGAGGGACACUGAAAUGCCCUCUGUGAGCAGGAGCACUCUCACAGCCUCUCCCUGCUCUCCUCAAACACAGCAGG